AGCGCAGGCGGGAAGACAAGUUGGAAGUGAAAACCAUGGGCUCAACCCAUGAAUUGCUUUCAAAACUGUUUUUCUUGAGUAGUGCAGAGGUAGAUGGAAUUCCCGGUGUAGCGGUGGAAUGCGUAGAUAUCGGGAGGAACACCAGUGGCGAAGGCGGUCUACUGGGCACCAACUGACGCUGAGGCUCGAAAGCAUGGGUAGCAAACA
rnacentral:rRNA from 1 species